AUUGAACGCUGGCGGCAGGCCUAACACAUGCAAGUCGAACGAGUGGCGGACGGGUGAGUAAUGUCUGGGAAACUGCCUGAUGGAGGGGGAUAACUACUGGAAACGGUAGCUAAUACCGCAUACCAUCAGAUGUGCCCAGAUGUGAUUAGCUUGUUGGUGGGGUAACGGCUCACCAAGGCGACGAUCCCUAGCUGGUCUGAGAGGAUGACCAGCCCCACUGGAACUUAGACACGGUCCCGACUCCUGCGGGAGGCAGAGGUGGGGAAUAUUGCACAAUGGGCGCAAGCCUGAUUCAGCCAUGCCGAAUGUAUGAAGAAGGCCUUCGGGUUGUAAAGUACUUUCAGCUGGGAGGCGUUACCCGCAGGAGAAGCACCGGCUAGCUCCGUGCCAGCGGCCGCGGUAAUUC
rnacentral:rRNA from 1 species